UGAAAGAAUGAACUGCCAGACUGACUGCCCUU
rnacentral:piRNA from 1 species